GACGAACGCUGGCGGCGUGCUUAACACAUGCAAGUCGAACGGAAAGGCCCUGCUUUUGUGGGUUGCUCGAGUGGCGAACGGGUGAGUAACACGUGAGUAACCUGCCCUUGACUUUGUGAUAUCUUCAGGGAACUGGGGCUAAUAUCGGAGAUGAUCUCCUGCUGCGUAGUGGUGGUUGGAGAGUGUCGGCGUUUGGGGAUGGACUCGCGGGUUAUCAGCUUGUUUGUGUGGUAGGUGCUGUCCAAGGCUUUGACGGGUAGCCUGCCUGAGAGGGUGACCGGGCACCAUGCGACUGCGAGACGGACCAGACUCCUACGGGAGGCAGCAGUGGGGAACAUUACACAAUGGGCGCAAGCGUGAUACAGCAACGCUGCGUGCGGGAUGCUCGCCUACGGGUUGUAAACAGAUUUCGAAUGUGCCGAAGCGUGAGUGACGGUACUGGGUAAAGAAGCACCGGCUAACUACGUG
rnacentral:rRNA from 1 species